AACGAACGUUGGCGGCGUGCUUAACACAUGCAAGUCGAGGGAGAAGCUAGGUGCUUGCACUUAGUGGAGACCGGCGCACGGGUGAGUAACACGUGGGUAACCUGCCCCAGAGUUUGGGAUAACAGUUGGAAACGACUGCUAAUACCGAAUAAGCCCCCAGAGAGGCAGCUCUCAGUGGGAAAAGAUUACGCUUUGGGAUGGGCCCGCGGUCCAUUAGAUAGUUGGUGGGGUAAAGGCCUACCAAGUCAAAGAUGGAUAGCUGGUUUGAGAGAAUGACCAGCCACACUGGGACUGAGACACGGCCCAG
rnacentral:rRNA from 1 species